UACGAAGGGGGCUAGCGUUGCUCGGGAAUCACUGGGCGUAAAGGGUGCGUAGGCGGGUCUUUAAGUCAGGGGUGAAAUCCUGGAGCUCAACUCCAGAACUGCCUUUGAUACUGAAGAUCUUGAGUCCGGGAGAGGUGAGUGGAACUCCGAGUGUAGAGGUGAAAUUCGUAGAUAUUCGGAAGAACACCAGUGGCGAAGGCGGCUCACUGGCCCGGUACUGACGCUGAGGUGCGAAAGCGUGGGGAGCAAACAGG
rnacentral:rRNA from 1 species